rnacentral:lncRNA from 1 species
ACAAAAAUGAAAAUAAUGUGCCUUAGAAAUUCAAACAAAUGAAUAUUGAAAAGGAGAAAUAACAUUAAAAAAAUGGAGAAAAAAAAAACAAUAAAGCUCCAGCCCAAAAAUGUUGAGCCCAUCUCAGCCUUGCUAUUUGAUUUUCCAAAUGAAGAAAACAAGAAAAAAUUAAGGAAAGUGUUGUUGUGCAGAAUCAAACCCACGACGUCCAAGCAAAAUCUUGAACCCCCUUUACCACUGAGCUAGCCUAUUUACAUGUGUUUAGGGGAUUCAUUUUAAUAUAUACACACAUAAAAAUAGAAUUUGACCUUACAUAUACCGUGUAAUUUUUCGACGAGACGGUUCGGGUAACCCCAUAACCUCCAUGUAGAUCCGCCCCUGCUACGAUGUGAGCAAAAAGUAGCAGAAAAACUCAGUUACAAAUAUUAAGCAAUAGCCAAUAAGGGGUAAUAUAAAAAUCCCUUUUUUUCUGCAUAAAUGCCUGUUUAUUGCAGUUCUUUUUAUUUGUUGAAUUGAAUGUUUGUCUUUCUUUGUGUUGAAGACCCCAC